GUAUCGGUGAUUCAGUGGUAGAAUGCUCGCCUGCCAAGCGGGUAUCCCGGGUUCGAUACCCGGCUGAUGCA
rnacentral:tRNA from 1 species